GUAAAUAGUUUUGAAAACAUGAUCAGUAGAUCUAGAAGUAAAAUAAUGUUAUGAUAAAAAUUUGUGCCCUGGAGGUUAUGAUAAUGGAAAACAAAAACUAUCUGGCUCUAGCUGGUUCUGAUCAUUUCAAGAUGGAAUUACAAUAUCUGCAGGACUCAAACACGAGAGAUAAAAUCCCCUGAUGAAUCUGCCAUUGGCAUUAUUGUGACCUUGAAAACAUGUCACAAUAACUUGCUGUUUAACUUUGAUAGCUGAGCUGAGUUUGUUAUAGCUGGCUCAUUUGAAGUCCUACUGACCAGCACAGUAGGGCAUUCCUCAUUCCUGGUUCCUUCAGACAGACAUAAAACAUUUAACCAUGAGAAGCCAGCUUUUGGUUUCGGUAUUUUCAAAAAGAAAAUUCUAAAAUCAGAUACAUAAUAUCUACAGUAGUUUGGGAUAUAAAAAACUUCAUCUUGUAGUUUGAAAAUAUGUUGAAUCAGCAAAUGCAUGAGCCCUGCAUGGACUGUCUGACUUAACAUUGGACACGACUAAGAGGAGACAAACACGCAGGGAGAGAAUGAUUAAUGUAAGCUCUUCUACAGCCAGCCAGAGACUUAAGGAAUUCUUUUCUGCAGCAUUCCAGAGAUAAUGGCCUACCAUUUUAUCCAGGGACAAGUUUUGUCAUUUAAAAAAAUAUGGAAAAUAGUGACACUCAAAAGAUUGGUGUUACCUAAGGAGGGAUAUACAAAGCAAAAUGGAAAACAGAGAAGAAACAAGAAUAUAGUAAAGAUUCAACUUUGUUUCCUCUAUGUGUUCCCUGGAACUGGAGAGAACCGUGGAUCUUAUUUUCUAUUUCAGAACAGUGAUGCAAGGGACAAAUAAUUCAACCAAACAUUACUAAAUAAACCAAAUCCAGCAUCUGUGACCUCACCUACAAACCAGUGACCAGACAUUCUUACAAAUCAUUGUCCAGACAUUAAAACAUCUAAUAGUAAUUUAUACCCUUACAGUGAGCAAAGUAUUUCUUUCCCUGCAUUCAUUUUCCAUCCUCCUUUUUCCUUCCUCUCUUCCUUUUUCCUUCCUUUUUUCUUCCUCCUUCC
rnacentral:lncRNA from 1 species